CGCAACAAAGUUUUAUUUAAGAAAAUUGCUAACACCUUAAAACUGAUCAUCAGUGGAUUUUAUUUGCAAUAUCCUCGUAAGCCCAAGGUCCUACUCGCAGGACUAAUUAAUUUAAUGUGAUUUAAACCAUUUUCAAUUGGAACCAAGUUGCAAAUUUAACCGUAUCUCCUUCACAAUUGAUUUCAAAUUCAAAUGGCAUUAUUUUUUGUAUGGUGGGCCUUGGAAGGAUAAAGUUAAUGAAUUAUCCGUUAACGUGUUGAAGAUCAAUUGUAUGUGUGUUGGCCUAAGUGCAAAUUGUCAUUUACUUGUUGCUAGUUUAAUAUUAGAAAAUGAAAAGGCAUUAUUAUUUAUUGUAGAUAUUUUACUAAUAGCAUCACAAUUCGUAAUUAUGUGGAAUCGUCUUGUAUUUUUAUUUAUAUUAUUUAUAUACAAAUCUGCAAUAAGGCCUAAGCGCUAUUAUAAAAUUGUGUCCGAUUUUUGUAGGACACUAAAUGAAUGAACCAUCUUACACUAAAAGUAAUAUAUUUAUAUUGUAUACUCUUAGGAUGAAAUGGUUCUUGAUCAGUAGUUGUCGUUGAAAGCAUAAUCAAUUUCCUGAGUGAAUCAACAAAAUUGUUUGUCCUUUAUGCUCUUAGAAUAAUACAGCUAAACUCUUGUAAAUGUCUAGAAGUUAAAACAUUUUGUUAAACAUCAUAUUUACAUGAUGAAAUUCGUUGAGAUUAAUUGAAGUCCAUUAAACAUUAAUGUAAAUAAUAAGAACAUUCAAGGUUCAUAACAGACUGGUUCUUGAGCCUUGGAGUGUUAUUCUUAUAGCAAAUAUGUGUGUCGAAUAAGUGAAAAAAAGUUUAUUUCUGUUACUCGUCGUUUGAGCCGCCUGUAUUGAUAAAAAAAUGUCUACUAGGGUAAACAAACCAUUUAUUGGUACCGAACGUUAGCACAUAGUUUUAGUAGUAUGGUGUACCGACGAUAGGUUUGUUUACCUUCAUGUUUAAAUUAAAAAUGUUCAUGGCUGUGGGUGUUUUAAAAGUACAGAGUUGUAAGUAUUAUGUUAAUAGAGUCUGUCUAAGUUAAAUCUGCAGCGACAAAGUGAGGUAGUGUCAUUAUAAACGUCAUAUUUAUGCCAUGUAGCGUGGUCCGACUCUAGCAGAUUAUCAUUUUUAACGCCAUAGUGUAUCAAGGAAGUCAUUUAAAUUUCGGAUUUGUUAUAAAUUUACUAAUGCAAUGUAUGCCCACUUUAUAAUUUAUCGAACUUCCUAAUCCUAAUUCCAUUUUUUAACCUGCAAUUUUAUCUAACAUAAGCAUUUUAAAUUUGAACUUGUGUAAAUAGUCAUAAUUUUUGUAAAUAAUGUAAAUUAUAUUAUAAGCAUUGUAGUUAGUGUUUUAACGUAAAUUAACCUAGCGAGACCCCACGUACUUGUACAAGUACACAUUCAAUUCUAGAAAUUUAAGAAAGUUCCAAAUUAAAACGCUCAAAAAUAGCCCUGGGUCUCACAUCAGAGUUAAAUUACAUCAGAGUAUCUCAAGUGCAGUUUUGCAUUCGGAACCUUAUUUUUUUCCAUUACAGUCCUUUUAAAAGGACGUCAGGACUUAGGAGGAUAGAUGCAGUAUUGUAUACACCCACAUUGUGAUUAUUGAUUGUAUUCAUUUGUUAUUGCCAUAUAAUUGAAAUGUUGUUCCGCGUGGGCCGAGCGUCAGAGGUUAAUGACUGGAAUUAGACCCUCACUGACCCUCCUUGAACCCAUCUUGUUAUAUAAAAUUGUAUAACUUACAUUUCGUCAGAUAACAAACAAAGCUCACUUACAGCAAAAUAAAAAUUAUCAAAAUUUUAACUUGUAAUUAGUGAGUUUUGGUUGUCACCUGACGAUUUGAUUUCCAUAGAUAUUAAUUCUGUGUUUAAUCUCCUGACUGUACUGUACAUCAAUUGUCACAACCAAACCAAGCACUGUGACUGUGAGGUCCAAAUUUAGGAAAACAAACUUGUAAAUACGUGUAUAUCUGUUAUAUAGUGUAUAUUAGCUGUAUCAUAAGCCUGUAUAUAAUUUUAUCGUUGAACCAUUUUAAAUUAAAUAUUUUUACACAA